rnacentral:rRNA from 1 species
GGGCAGCCAAGUCGUGAGGCGGAGCUAAUCCCUUAAAGCCAUUCUCAGUUCGGAUUGUAGGCUGAAACCCGCCUACAUGAAGCUGGAGUUACUAGUAAUCGCAGAUCAGAAUGCUGCGGUGAAUGCGUUCCCGGGUCUUGUACACACCGCCCGUCACACCACGGAAGUUGGGGGCGCCCGAAGCCACUUAGCUAACCCUUUUGGGAAGCGAGUGUCGAAGGUGAAAUCAAUAACUGGGGUGAAGUCGUAACAAGGUAGC